GCCAAUUUGGCAGAAAGAUGCGUCAGAGUUAAGUUUUGGAGAGUGGUUGGUU
rnacentral:tRNA from 1 species